rnacentral:rRNA from 1 species
CAACCUGCCCUGCAGAUGGGGAUAACACCGGGAAACCGGGGCUAAUACCGAAUAAUCAGUUCCUCCGCAUGGAGGAACUCUGAAAGGCGGUUUCGGCUGUCACUGCAGGAUGGGCCCGCGGCGCAUUAGCUAGUUGGUGGGGUAAUGGCCUACCAAGGCGACGAUGCGUAGCCGACCUGAGAGGGUGAUCGGCCACACUGGGACUGAGACACGGCCCAGACUCCUACGGGAGGCAGCAGUAGGGAAUCUUCCACAAUGGACGAAAGUCUGAUGGAGCAACGCCGCGUGAGCGAAGAAGGUUUUCGGAUCGUAAAGCUCUGUUGUGGGGUAAGAACWWGUACGGGAGUAACUGCCCGUACCUUGACGGUACCUCAUUAGAAAGCCACGGCUAACUACGUGCCAGCAGCCGCGGUAAUACGUAGGUGGCAAGCGYUGUCCGGAAUUAUUGGGCGUAAAAGCGCGCGCAGGCGGUCCUUUUAGUCUGAUGUGAAAGCCCCACGGCUCAACCCUGGGAGGGGUCAUUGGGAAACUGGGGGGACUUGGAGUACAGAAGAGGAAAAGCGGAAUUUCCACGGUGUAGCGGUGAAAUGUGUAGAAGAUGUGGAGGACCACCAGUGGGCGAAGGCGGCUUUUCUGGGUCUGUAACUGAUCGCUGGAGGCGCGAAAGCGUGGGGAGGCAACAAGGGAUAGAUUACCCUGGUAGUCCCUCGCCGUAAACAAUGAGGGCUAAGAGGUAA